UUGGGAGAACUUUGCGAAACAUCAGUAUCUGUUUUAGCACAAUAAGCUUCGUAAAUAUAGGAAUCAUUCCCGAAACCCCAUAUACCAUGGCCUUAAUCAUCAUUUCUGAAUAAGUCCUUAGUAGUUUAUCUCAGCAGUCAGCUCCGGCCUACGCAUCCUCUACGUAGGGGAUCGCUGCAAAUAACUGAAUGAUCCAGAAAAACAAAAAAAAUAAAAGAAAGAAAAAAGGCAAC
rnacentral:lncRNA from 1 species